UUUUCUGGCAAUUUCAGCAUCAUACCAUUCCUGAUCCCUGUGGGCCAUUCGUGAUGGAGUAGAUACAGCUUCUUUCAUCACUCUUGGCUUCAUUCCUUUAAAAAAAAAAAAAAACUCAAUGUAAUAAAACAACCGAGGAUGUUUUCUGAAAAGUUAAGAAAUUUAAGAUAAAGGAGAUUUUUCUUUAGUAGCUAACAAUGACAAUACUACCUCUACUCCAGAAUACAGUGUGGGGUGCAUUAAAAAUAUUUUUGCCCUAGGAAUGGAAGUGGCAAUGUAGAUAAUGCAUACAUUUAAACAAAGAUAUCUAAGCAAGCCUGCCUGGUAAAAAGUCCCCUCUCACAUAGUUUCUGCAACAGCAGAAAUUUAUGUAAGAAGUUGCAAGUGAGGCCCUGGAAAAAUACAAAGUGAAAAAAAAGUCAUUGAAAACAAAAAUAAUUUAAAGAAAAGCAAAUUACAGAGUCAGAGUUUAAAAGAGGCUAAGCUGUCAAGGCUGGAGGAGAGUAGAGGCUUCUUUCUAUUUAUCUCAGCCUGCAUACUUACUACUUCCGAGGGAGCAGGAACAGCAGCACCUGGCAGUCAUGUGAUAAUACCUGUGAGACAAGCAGUGGUCCUGCCAUGGCUUUUCCUCUGAGAGUAAAUAAACCCACUCGCUUUAGAACUUCCCCACAGCUUUGAUCAGACUGAUAGCACUGUGACAUCUUAGGGAAAAUAUAAUCAGAGCUAUAUUGAGAGCACAAUGACCAGAGUUCUAUUCCAAUUUAUUCCUAUAAAGCAAUUCUGGCUUUAAACUUUUACUUGACAGUGUGAGUGUAUUAUAUUCAGAAUUAAUAAAAAUUUUGAAUACAGUGAACAAGAUUACUUAUCUGAAAUAGUUCAUUUCAGUAAAUUAACUAUUCAGAGGAGAAAGAAAAUGUACUCCUGAUUGUCUCUUUAUGCCAGGGGUUGUCAAUCAGGGCUAUAUAUUCGAAUCACAUGAGGGUGCUUUGAACACGUAUAAAAAUAUUUGCCCCAACCCCCACAGAUUCUAAAUUAAGUAGCCUGGGUGUGCCCUGUCCUUGAGUAAGUUUGUUUUAAAUCUCCCCAGUUCAUUCUUACUUGCAAUUAAUAUUGGCAUCACCUGUUUAGUGUAUUAUGUCCAUUAAAAUUACUGUAAAUUAAAAUGAUUUUUGUCAAAAUCCCUCACCACACUUGACUCACUUGCUGUUAAUCUUUAAAAAAAUAAAAUACAAGUAAACACUGGGCAAAUGAUGAGAAUGUAAGUAUUUUGUGAAGCCCACCUUUGUACAACUUUCAACCUGGCUUCUGCGGCUUCAGAAGCCACAGACUCAUACACAUCUGUAUUUCCUACAAAGACAGACUAGUAAACAUGGCUUUCUUAGCUUCAGACCUAAUAGAACCUGAUUGCACAGAUCACUUCAAAUCAACUCUAGAGCCACGGAGUCUUAUGCUGGGCUGGGCUUAAUCUAGAUUUCUAAGUGGUUUGGGACAGCAAAAACAAACAAACAAACAAACAAAAAAACAGUGGCAUAGUCCCAAGAGUGGACCAUCUGAAAUAGAAUAUAAAUCUCCCUGAGUUAUUUAGCUUAGUCAGAACUAGGAAGGCAGAUUUCAGAGAAAAUGAAAUUAGAUAAGGAACUCAGUACUGGGCAAUGUCAGUGGACAAGAUAGUCUGCUAUAUAAACCAUGUUCCAAUCUAUAGAAAAAAUGAUACUUCAAUAAGCAGCCCAAAGCUUAAUUAAGGAUGACAGAACAUGCCUACCUCCUUCACUUUUGCCAUACAGUGAAAUAAUACAGUGGGAUGUGCUCAAAUUUCAAGAGACCAAAUUUUCUCCACUAUUAUGCCUCCUAAAGUACACCACAGAAUUAGCCAAGAAGAUUUUUCACUUUCAGUUUUAUUAAAGACACAUUGUUUUAAAUUCUACCAAAGACAAUAUUCCAUUGAAUAGUCUAAUUGUUUUGACAGGGUGAUAAGACUGUAACCUCUGGCAGUUAAAAAGAGAAUGAUGACUUAGUAAGAGUCAGAAUCUGAGGUAAUAUCUCUCAGUUCCAAAUAUUUAGAGGGGAAAUGGUUUAUUUAAACCCUUGAUGUAUCACUGGAAUCUGUAAAUCUCAUUAAGUAGAAAAUCUCCACAGCCUGGAAUACUAAAUUUCUGCACUGUCAGGAUGCCCAUUCUCUGCAGUGUCCUCUGGACCCAAGGUGACAAAAAUUUUUGUAAGGAUAUAGAAAAAGAACUCACAGUGCAGUGUAAGGCCGUCAUUAAACAAAGAUGUCCAAAAAUUUUUUAAAUGUAAUUAACUGAAGGAAAUUAACAGACUAGCUUCCCUCAUCUCAGUAUCCUAAACAGACUCUAGAAACUAGCUUUCAAAAAAUCAGGUGAGUGGUAUUUUCAAGUUCCAUAUAUAUCUUAAUUUCACAUUUCCUUGUCUUUUUCUGUUCAUCAUCCUUCAGAUGGAGAACACAAGAACAUCCUUAAAUGAACACAAAACUUCAGCCUUAAAUAAAUUUACAGAAUAAAAUUGUUGAAAGUACUGACAGUCAAGAUAAAUUUAUUCUGAGCUUGGAAUAAGGUAAAAUGAUAGAUUCUUUUUGAUAUCAUGUAAGAGUAUUUGUAAUAAGCCAGUCUGACAUUUAGGGAAUGCCACAGUAUAUCUGACUAACAAUUCACAGCAGAACAGUGCAGAUAUUUUAUGGCCCUGUGAGUUUAGAAGUUAACCUGCAGAAAAUGAUGAGCCAUUAAGAAUUUAUAGUCCAAUAGAGAAGUAACUCCGAAAGGUUAAGUACCCAUUGCCCUGUAGAAAGUUAUCUUAUACUUAAUUUAAAAUUUUAUUUUGCAGUCCCUUUCAACUGAUUCUAUUAAUGCUGCUCUGCAAAUGCUCUUAGAACCAGCUCCGUGUCAUCCUGCUAGUUUCUUCAUUAUUAAUGUAAGUUUGGCCUGUCCUAACAACUUUAAGAAUUGUGCUUUUACAACAGCAAGAAUAGAUGCCACUACCUAGUAAUUAUAUUUUAAUGUAAUCCUCUGACCUGUUCCAGGGAGUUACAAAAUCAAAUGCCUACGGGGGCUAGAAAGGUAAAAUAUAAAAAGCAAGCUGAAUAUAAAAUGAUAGAAAAGCAGCAGCUCAUGUUGUAGUCGUUUUAAUAUCCGCCUGGUAACAUUGUUUUUCAAUCCCUUGUGCUGGCAAAAUAAAAAACAAAACAUUUGCAAUUCCAGUAGUGGAGCCUGUGAGUCAGCGUUUAGUGUCAUGCUUCCUCAGCCUAUUUAAAAUAUCCUGGAGCAUAACUAAAAGCCAUAAAGCCUAACUAGCCCUCAGAGCACUCGUGAAAGUCAGAUUCACAGAAGCAGAAACGUAGAGGUCAGUGUACAUCAUUCUUCCUCCAUACUUCCCCCACACCUUUGGAACUUGUAAACCUCAAAAUGCUAGGGGUGUAACCUCCUCAUAAACCUACUCAAGACAGAUUAUAUCACACUUUCCUCUAUUUUUCCGCAGCUCUUUAUGUCUUCCUAACAAAGUGGAUCUAGUUUGGAAUUGUUUACAAAGCCAUCUUUCUGGCUGAAAUCCAAGCACAAAGCCUAAGACAAGGAUAUUUGUGGCAGCUACUCAGAAUGGCUUCUGGAACUAAAUUUUAAUUUUCUGCAUAACCAAGUCCUUCAAUAAGAAAUAACAUGACAGGAAAAACCAACUUAACCUGAAUCCGCAACCUAGAAACAAGUUCUCUGACCACAGAUAGAGCUUGACUGGCUCCUUGGUACUAUGAUUCCUAGUGUUACAGACACAUGGAAAACAUCACCUCAGCAGUUUAUAGAAAAUAGAGCCAUUACUGCGUCAAUGAUGGACUUCAGAGUUAAGCCUCAGGGGUGCCAGAAAUUUGAGGUUUAUCUAUAAUAUUUACCUCAUUCUUAUAUAGGUACCAAGAACUUACCUGUAUUGGUACUUUAGAACACCAACUGUAGAGUUAGAGCUGGAGAAAGUUACAGCAUAAAAAGUAACUUAAUGCAAUGACUUUAAACUUUUAAGUUCCUAAGAAUCCACCUCCAGGUCUAAAACAUGUCCAAACUGCCAGGCCUCACUCCAGAGAUGAUAAUACAUGUGAAACCCAGACAUUUCCAUUGUUAGUUAACAGCUGAUUCUGAUGAAAAUGAACUGAGGCAUAUUAUUUGAAAAAUACUUUCUUAAAAGACUGCCUAUCCAACUCCUCAUUUUACAAAUGAGAAAGAUGAGGUCUAAAAAAUACAGUAUUUCCGGCUCUAUCGGCCUUUUAGUUAGACAAACACUAUCAAGACAGGCUCAUCAGCUCUUCUGGGUUCACUGAAGUAAAACCAGAAAUUCAGGAGUUUUGAUUUGGUAUCAGAAUCUCUGAUACACAGUCUCGGUAAAUGAAGAACUAUAUCUGGAAUGGGUACCUCUAAUACAACCUGGGCAUGGAAUAACUCUCCAAGAAAUCAGUGCAUUCUCACAGAAGGGAAAAGUUACAAAUAUUUUCCUUCUUCUUACAGACCUGAGAUUAAGUGUAUACCUUUUAUAAUAUGUUGCUCUAGGAUUUAUUUCAAAGUCAUGAGCAUGAACUAGAGAGAAAGAAAGGUUGCUUAAGGUACUUAUUAAAUUCAUUGGUUUGUAGUUAUAUACAUGAUACCAGGACUUCCAUCGAGACUGUCCUCUAUUACCUGCGUCAUGGAGGUGGAGCUGCUCCUCACUCUCUGAGAAUGGAGGAGUCCUGGGCCUGUGUCUCCUUUUUCUGUGCUCACCUUGCCCAUGGUC
rnacentral:lncRNA from 10 species